rnacentral:rRNA from 1 species
AGAGUUUGAUCUGGCUCAGAUUGAACGCUGGCGGCAUGCCUAACACAUGCAAGUCGAACGGUAACAGCAAGAGCUUGCUCUUGGCUGGGCGGACGGGUGAGUAACGCGUAGGAAUCUGCCUUGGAGUGGGGGACAACAUGGGGAAACUCAUGCUAAUACCGCAUACGCCCUACGGGGGAAAGCGGGGGAUCUUCGGACCUCGCGCUCUAAGAUGAGCCUGCGUCGGAUUAGCUUGUUGGUGAGGUAAUGGCUCACCAAGGCUACGAUCCGUAGCUGGUCUGAGAGGACGGCCAGCCACACUGGGACUGAGACACGGCCCAGACUCCUACGGGAGGCAGCAGUGGGGAAUAUUGGACAAUGGGGGCAACCCUGAUCCAGCAAUGCCGCGUGUGUGAAGAAGGCCUGCGGGUUGUAAAGCACUUUCAGCAGCGAGGAAAAGCUUAGGGUUAAUAGCCUUGAGUCUUGACGUUAACUGCAGAAGAAGCACCGGCUAACUUCGUGCAAGCAGCCGCGGUAAUACGACGGGUGAAAGAGUUAAUCGGAAUUACUGGGAGUAAAGAGCGCGUAGGCGGUUAGAUAAGUUGGGUGUGAAAUCCCUGGGCUCAACCUAGGAACUGCAUUCAAUACUGUCUAGCUAGAGGAUGGUAGAGGAAAGUGGAAUUUCAAGGUGUAGCGGUGAAAUGCGUAGAUAUCUGAAGGAACACCAGUGGCGAAGGCGGCUCUCUGGACCAAUACUGACGCUGAGGUGCGAAAGCGUGGGUAGCAAACGGGAUUAGAUACCCCGGUAGUCCACGCCGUAAACGAUGUCAACUAGCCGUUGGGAGUAUUAAAACUUUUAGUGGCGCAGCUAACGCGAUAAGUUGACCCCAUGGGGAGUACGGCCGCAAGGCUAAAACUCCAAUGAAUUGACGGGGGCCCGCACAAGCGGUGGACCACGUGGUUUAAUUCGAUGCCAAGAGAAGAUCCUUACCUACCCUUGACAUCCUCGGAACCUCGCAGAGAUGCGAGGGUGCCUUCGGGAACCUAGUGACAGGUGCUGCAUGGCUGUCGUCAGCUCGUGUCGUGAGAUGUUGGGUUAAGUCCCGUAACGAGCGCAACCCUUAUCCCUAGUUGCCAGCACAUAAUGGUGGGAACUCUAGGGAGACUGCCGGUGACAAACCGGAGGAAGGAGGGGAUGACGUCAAGUCAUCAUGGCCCUUAUGGGUAGGGCUACACACGUGCUACAAUGGCCGGUACAGAGGGCCGCAAACCCGCGAGGGGGAGCCAAUCCCAGAAAACCGGUCGUAGUCCGGAUUGGAGUCUGCAACUCGACUCCAUGAAGUCGGAAUCGCUAGUAAUCGCAGAUCAGAAUGCUGCGGUGAAUACGUUCCCGGGCCUUGUACACACCGCCCGUCACACCAUGGGAGUGGAUUGCACCAGAAGUAGGUAGCUUAACCUUCGGGAGAGCGCUUACCACGGUGUGGUUCAUGACUGGGGUGAAGUCGUAACAAGGUAGCCGUAGGGGAACCUGCGGCUGGAUCACCUCCUU